rnacentral:miRNA from 1 species
AAGCAAGUCAGCGGUUCCCCUUA